AUUCAGAAAGGUCCUGUAGGCAGGACUGGGAGAUUCACAUUCAGUUUCCUAUGCAGUAACUUUGAUUUUAUUCUUGUAAAUUUGACGGUGUUGUAAGACUUGUUAGAUUUGCCCUUCUCUCUUUGGAAAUCAUUAUAUUCGAUGGAAAACAUAGCGCUGUACAGGUAAACGGUCGCUCUCCGCCGGAAAAUAGUCCCCAAGGAGACUGCUUGUUUCAGCAAAAGACCACAGGAGGGAGCAUUUCCUUCUCCAAACAGCAGGCAACUUGAAUGGAGGAGCCAAUACAGGAAACCUGGGAGUUUUGACACCUCAUGUGCAUGACUGGCACUUUGUGGAGGAUGAAAAAUGUGUCCAUAUUCAGAAACUGAUGAAAUGUGCUCAAAGGUCCAGUGGUGUGCCACCAUGCAUCCUGCUGAUCUGAGCCUUUCAUCUCCUCCCCUGUCUUUAGCCUAAGUUAACAAGGUCAACAGAUUUUUCAGGGUUUUCACUGCACAUCUUUAGGAUUCAUUAUGAAGCAGCUGUUGUGAAAUGAAAGUAGAAAAUGGGUGUAAUUCUCUUGAUUAAUGUGUUCAGUACACCGGAGAGGGGUUUGUAAUCGACUGUAGGUCUGCCCCGUCUUCAGGGUUGAAAAGCACUGAUACAAAAACACUGGAAACAAUUUGGCCAUCUAUAAAUGUCAGUCUUACACACACUUACUAAUAUGUUGAACUUUCAAACAUGCAUUUGAGACCCAAAGACAUGCUUGUACAUGUGGAAAAAAAGAAAUUUAUUACAAUAAUGUUCCAAGUUUACCAUUAAUAAAUAUUUAUGUUUACA